rnacentral:rRNA from 1 species
UACAUGGGGUGCAAACGUUGCUCGGAAUUAUUGGGCGUAAAGCGCACGUAGGCGGUUUGUUAAGUCAAAUGUGAAAGCCCUCGGCUCAACCGAGGAAGUGCAUCUGAAACUGACAAGCUAGAGUAUGGAAGAGGGUGACGGAAUUCCCGGUGUAGAGGUGAAAUUCGUAGAUAUCGGGAGGAACACCGGUGGCGAAGGCGGUCACCUGGGCCAAUACUGACGCUGAGGUGCGAAAGCGUGGGGAGCAAACAGG